rnacentral:rRNA from 1 species
GAUGAACGCUGGCGGCGUGCUUAACACAUGCAAGUCGAACGAUGAAGCCCAGCUUGCUGGGUGGAUUAGUGGCGAACGGGUGAGUAACACGUGAGUAACCUGCCCUUGACUCUGGGAUAAGCCCGGGAAACUGGGUCUAAUACCGGAUAGGAGCGCCUGUCGCAUGACGGGUGCUGGAAAGAUUUUUCGGUCAUGGAUGGACUCGCGGCCUAUCAGCUUGUUGGUGAGGUAAUGGCUCACCAAGGCGACGACGGGUAGCCGGCCUGAGAGGGUGACCGGCCACACUGGGACUGAGACACGGCCCAGACUCCUACGGGAGACAGCAGUGAGGAAUAUUGCACAAUGGGCGGAAGCCUGAUGCAGCGACGCCGCGUGAGGGAUGACGGCCUUCGGGUUGUAAACCUCCUUCAAG